rnacentral:rRNA from 1 species
UACGAAGGGGGCUAGCGUUGCUCGGAAUCACUGGGCGUAAAGCGCACGUAGGCGGGUCUUUAAGUCAGGGGUGAAAUCCUGGAGCUCAACUCCAGAACUGCCUUUGAUACUGAGGAUCUCGAGUCCGGGAGAGGUGAGUGGAACUGCGAGUGUAGAGGUGAAAUUCGUAGAUAUUCGCAAGAACACCAGUGGCGAAGGCGGCUCACUGGCCCGAUACUGACGCUGAGGCACGAAAGCGUGGGGAGCAAACAGG